rnacentral:rRNA from 1 species
AAACUAACAAGGAUUCCCCUAGUAACGGCGAGUGAAGCGGGAUGAGCUCAAGCUUAAAAUCUCUGUGUCAGUUUGGCAUGGCGAAUUGUAGUCUAUGGAGGCGCUAUCAGUGCGAUUGUUCGGGUUAAGUUCCUUGGAAGAGGACAGCAUCGAGGGUGAUACUCCCGUAUGUACCUGUUCAGUCGCGCGUACGAUACGUUUUCUUUGAGUCGCGUUGUUUGGGAAUGCAGCGCAAAGUAGGUGGUAAAUUCCAUCUAAAGCUAAAUAUUGGUGCGAGACCGAUAGCGAACAAGUACCGUGAGGGAAAGAUGAAAAGAACUUUGAAAAGAGAGUUAAAGAGUACCUGAAACUGCUGAAAGGGAACCGAAUCGUUUCCAGUGUCUAUAAUCCAUGGUAUAUUUCAUUGGUGUGUAAGUGCGUGCAGCGUUUUGGAAGUAGUUUUCUGCUCCUGUCGUUGUUGUGCAUUUGCCUGCUGGUGCCCUGUGCUGUGGUGGGACGUCAGAGUCAGUUCGUGUGUUGCGGGAAAUGGUUAUUGGGGAGGUAGGUCAUUUCGGUGGCUGUUAUAUCCUGAUAACUAGUCGUCGUGGCUGGGACUGAGGUGCCUACAACGUGCUUUUGAGUCUGCGGGCUUCUCGUGUUGCUGUUUGCUUGGAUAGCUUGCUAUGUUCGUGAAUAAGUCGUGCGAUUGAGACCUGUAGUAACUUGUUGCCGUUCGGGACUUUGACGAAAUGGAGCGAUCCGAC